rnacentral:rRNA from 1 species
UACGAAGGGGACUAGCGUUGUUCGGAUUUACUGGGCGUAAAGCGCGCGUAGGCGGAUCGCUAAGUCAGGGGUGAAAUCCCAGGGCUCAACCCUGGAACUGCCUUUGAUACUGACGAUCUGGAGAUCGGGAGAGGUUGGUGGAAUUCCGAGUGUAGAGGUGAAAUUCGUAGAUAUUCGCAGGCAACACCGAGUGGCGAAGGCGGCUUACUGGUCCAUAACUGACGCUGAGGUGCGAAAGGCGUGGGGAGCAAACAGG